CCCGCAGGCCCGUUACUGAAUGUGUUGUAUGCCAUUGACAAUUAAACGAUCUACAUUACCACGAAGAUGAUCCGCAAUUAUUCCAUUACUAACACUAGACCGAUCUAGCUGAGGAUCGUCCAUGAGUAGUCGUUUUGGCCGGAAUUCCUGGAGGAAAAUCCAUGUCGGCUGUCAGAGAAGAAUCAGGACUCCCUUCGCAUCCGUACCCUUUGAUAGUAAUCAUUACCUCUGCAUCCUGUACGACUAACACUUGAUUAUCCUGCAGUGGACAACAGGGAAGGAUUUUUGAUGAUGACCCCACUUGUGCUUCCACUUGAUGCCUUUCAGACAGCAUAUG
rnacentral:sRNA from 2 species